UACGUAGGGACCGAGCGUUGUCCGGAAUCAUUGGGCGUAAAGAGCGUGUAGGCGGCCUUUUAAGUCCUGCGUGAAAUCCUGCGGCUCAACCGCAGACGGUCGUGGGAAACUGGAAGGCUAGAGUGCGGGAGAGGAGAGUGGAAUUCCCGGUGUAGCGGUGGAAUGCGCAGAUAUCAGGAGGAACACCGGUGGCGAAGGCGGUUCUCUGGGCAUUACCUGACGCUCAGGUGCGAAAGCUAGGGGAGCGAACAGG
rnacentral:rRNA from 1 species